AGUGAACGCUGGCGGUAGGCCUAACACAUGCAAGUCGAACGGCAGCACAGUAAGAGCUUGCUCUUACGGGUGGCGAGUGGCGGACGGGUGAGGAAUACAUCGGAAUCUACUUUUUCGUGGGGGAUAACGUGGGGAAACUUACGCUAAUACCGCAUACGACCUACGGGUGAAAGCAGGGGAUCUUCGGACCUUGCGCGAUUGAAUGAGCCGAUGUCGGAUUAGCUAGUUGGCGGGGUAAAGGCCCACCAAGGCGACGAUCCGUAGCUGGUCUGAGAGGAUGAUCAGCCACACUGGAACUGAGACACGGUCCAGACUCCUACGGGAGGCAGCAGUGGGGAAUAUUGGACAAUGGGCGCAAGCCUGAUCCAGCCAUACCGCGUGGGUGAAGAAGGCCUUCGGGUUAUAAAGCCCUUUUGUUGGGAAAGAAAAGCAGCAGGUUAAUACCCCGCUGUUCUGACGGUACCCAAAGAAUAAGCACCGGCUAACUUCGUG
rnacentral:rRNA from 1 species